UAUACUGUGUUUUUUUUUUUUUUUGAAGGGGGAAGUAAACCGGUCGCCCAAAGGGGGAUCCGGCCGGCGUUCGCCAGGUAGGACGUCCGCCGUUAUGGCCCAUGGGCCACCAUGGAGUCUGCGGUGGCAGCUCGCGGCGAGGUCACCAGCUAUGGGCCACCAGCUCGGCUUCGCGUCUCUGAGCAUCCUCCCCACUCGUGCGUAAGGCCGAUGAGGGGAGCUCGCCGCCGUUUGGCCGGAAGCUCCACAGUUCACACCGGCGACAAAGCAAGGACUGUGAACAACAAGGAUUCAGGGUUCAGUUGCUGCAAAAGCCAAUAUUCAGGAAUUCAGCACCUGAGUUUCAUUUAAUCCAAUAGACGAAAUUGCAAGAUUUGGAGAUCAAGCAUUGGCGUUGCAUUACAUCAUCUUGGUUGGAACUUGAGCUAGGAAAUUGCUUGGCUCACGGCUCGAUGGUGUUUGGUUCAAGAUGUGCUUCCUUCCUCGAUAACAGUUGAUCCUCAAGCUC